rnacentral:rRNA from 1 species
UAGCUGCAGAUUCCUGUACUAAGGUAGCAUAAUCACUUGUCUUUUAAUUAAAGUCUAGAAUGAACGAUUGCAUGAAUAAAAAAUUUCAUAAUUUUAUUAUUAUCAAAUUAUACCUUUCAUAAAAAUAUGAAAAUACAAAAGAAGACGACAAGACCCUAUUGAACUUAACUAAAGUUUCACUGGGGCAGUAUAUUAACAACCUUUUUAGUUCUAUAUUUUCCUCCUAACCUUUUAAACAACCAUCAAGUUACCAUAGGGAUAACAGCGCAAUUUAUUUUAACAGCUCUUAUACAAAAAUAAGAUUACGACCUCGAUGUUGAAUUAAUUUACCUAAUAUGCGCAAAAAUAUAUAAGGAAGACUGUUCGUCUUUAAAAAAAUUACAUGAUCUG